UCCAUAUAAAUUAUAGUUGCAUCAGGUACUAAUACAUUAUAACAAGGGGUUUUUUCCAUGGCCUUGUUUUCAGAUCAGAAGUCUGGGUUUUUUUCUUGAAAAACAACUUGUCAUCAUCUUGUAACGUGACUUUCUCCAUUUUGGAACGAGCUUCUUUGUAUUCUACACAAGAUUUAUCUUCUGCGAUGCUAGGCAUACAGUACAUUUGCGGGGACUCCCAAUUUCUGGUAAUUUAGUUGUUAGCUUUAUAUCUAGUUACAAGACUACUCGGCAGGAAAAUGGUAACCUUCUGAUAUCCAGAGAAACGAGGCUGAGCAAGCAAAACCAGUAGAAGGUGCCUCAUUUUAGAAAAUCCUAUCUGUCAUUGGCGAAGUAGCGUGAAUCAUGGCAAAACCAGCACACGUGCUUCACGAUGUCAUUCGGGUAAUACUAAGAUAUUACUGUUCCGACCAGGGCAGUAAAAUCUCAACAGACUCAUGCAGACUAUUUUAGAAAAUCAAACAGGAAUUAUCAAACCUGGAAUAAUUCAACAGUGACAGGCAAUGGCAAGUUACCACGAACUGAUUCUGGAGCCACCUAUUGAAGAACUUAUUGUAGGAAUGUGGCCUCUAUUUCAAAUCAAGUUACAUAAAAAAAGUGACGUCACAAUUUAUGACCAUGAAUAAUGACGAUUUCGGGAAUGUCACGCGAAAUUCAGAAGUCAUGUGUUAAGUCACGCAAACUCCUUCGCUCAAGUUGAGGACCUGUAGGAGAUGGAAACGCCCUUUGAACAACCAAAAAAGGUAACAGAAUCCCUUUAUUGAAAAAAUGGUUGUGGUCACCAAUAAUCAAGUAAAUUCAGGAACAUGAGGUAGUUUUAUACUGACUGAUCAUUAUAUUUAUCUUAUUACUUUUAUUAUUCAGAAGCUUUUCUUAGAAACAACAGACAAGCAAAGAGAAUUGUGAUAGAUUCUUUUAUUUCGUUUUUUUUAAUUUAAUUUUUUCACGUUUUCCUAAACAGAAAAAGUAAUAAAAUUUUAGAAUCUAAUCCUCCAUUCUAGAAAUAGCUGGUGACUCUUUCAUCCGCAUCACUGGGUAAUCGUCGU